rnacentral:miRNA from 1 species
UGUGUUGGCCAAAAAGUUCGUUUGGGUUUUUCUGUAAGAUGUUAUAGGAAAACCCGAACAAACUUUUUGGCCAAACCA